rnacentral:rRNA from 1 species
UACGUAUGGAGCAAGCGUUAUCCGGAUUUACUGGGUGUAAAGGGAGCGUAGGCGGCCUAAUAAGUCUGAUGUGAAAACCCAUGGCUCAACCGUGGGAUUGCAUUGGAAACUGUAAGGCUAGAGUGUCGGAGGGGCAAGUGGAAUUCCUAGUGUAGCGGUGAAAUGCAUAGAUAUUAGGAGGAACACCAGUGGCGAAGGCGGCUUGCUGGACGAUUACUGACGCUGAGACUCGAAAGCGUGGGGAG